GGGUGACGAAGCGACGCCGCGUGGGUGAGGAAGGCCCUCGGGUUGUAAAGCCCUGUCAGGAGUUAAGAAAUGUAGAUACGCUAAUAUCGUAUCUAUUUGACAAAGGCUCCAAAGGAAGCCACGGCUAACUCUGUGCCAGCAGCCGCGGUAAUACAGAGGUGGCAAGCGUUGUUCGGAAUUAUUGGGCGUAAAGAGCACGUAGGUGGAUUUGUAAGUCAGAUGUGAAAGCCUUCUGUUCAACGGAAGAAUUGCAUCUGAAACUACAAACCUUGAGUAUAGGAGGGGAGAAUGGAACUUCUGGUGGAGCGGUGAAAUGCGUAGAUAUCAGAAGGAACGCCGGCGGCGAAAGCGACUCUCUGGCCUAUAACCGACACUGAGUGUGCGAAAGCUAGGGGAGCAAACGGGAUUAGAUACCCCGGUAGUCCUAGCCGUAAACGAUGGGCACUAAGUAGAGG
rnacentral:rRNA from 1 species